rnacentral:rRNA from 1 species
AGCCUCCUACGGGGGGCAGCAGUGGGGAAUAUUGGGCAAUGGGCGCAAGCCUGACCCAGCAACGCCGCGUGAAGGAAGAAGGCUUUCGGGUUGUAAACUUCUUUUCUCAGGGACGAAGAAAGUGACGGUACCUGAGGAAUAAGCCACGGCUAACUACGUGCCAGCAGCCGCGGUAAUACGUAGGUGGCAAGCGUUAUCCGGAUUUACUGGGCGUAAUGGGCGUGUAGGCGGGAAAGCAA